AACCUGGCUGUUACUUUCUGAGCUGUACGCCAGCUGCUCGUGCGAGGUCGUUGACUUUCCAGCUUCAGGCUGAAGUUGAAGUUGUUACCUUCAGGUGUCAUCGGAAAGCUGGCCUUUACUUCAGGGCUGAGUUGGUUCCACAGGCGAUGGAGCUCCCUCUCAAUGGGUUCAAGGCUUGUUACUGCAGUCUUGAAAAACCCGGGCUCAACGAUACACACCUUAAUUCCAAAGUAGUGGAUGUCUCUCCUGGAAACAGAGUGUGCUGUGGAAAUCCUCCACUUUCAUCCACUCUGAUGGACCCAUGGGUAAUGAACGUCCAGCAUUGUUCACAAGACCCCAAAGUCCUACAAAGCAAAUAAAAGACAAAAGAAGGAAG